AAUAGAUACCCGGGUAGUCCACGCCGUAAACGAUGAGUGCUAAGUGUUAGGGGGUUUCCGCCCCUUAGUGCUGCAGCUAACGCAUUAAGCACUCCGCCUGGGGAGUACGGUCGCAAGACUGAAACUCAAAGGAAUUGACGGGGGCCCGCACAAGCGGUGGAGCAUGUGGUUUAAUUCGAAGCAACGCGAAGAACCUUACCAGGUCUUGACAUCCCAUUGACCACUAUGGAGACAUAGUUUUCCCUUCGGGGACAACGGUGACAGGUGGUGCAUGGUUGUCGUCAGCUCGUGUCGUGAGAUGUUGGGUUAAGUCCCGCAACGAGCGCAACCCUUGUUCUUAGUUGCCAUCAUUUAGUUGGGCACUCUAAGGAGACUGCCGGUGACAAACCGGAGGAAGGUGGGGAUGACGUCAAAUCAUCAUGCCCCUUAUGACCUGGGCUACACACGUGCUACAAUGGACGGUACAAACGGUUGCCAACCCGCGAGGGGGAGCUAAUCCGAUAAAACCGUUCUCAGUUCGGAUUGUAGGCUGCAACUCGCCUACAUGAAGACC
rnacentral:rRNA from 1 species